UACGAAGGGGGCUAGCGUUGUUCGGAUUUACUGGGCGUAAAGCGCGCGCAGGCGGUCAUUUAAGUCUGGUGUAUAAUCCUGGGGCUCAACCCCCAGGUCGCACUGGAAACUGGAUGACUUGAGUGCAGAAGAGGAGAGUGGAAUUCCACGUGUAGCGGUGAAAUGCGUAGAGAUGUGGAGGAACACCAGUGGCGAAGGCGACUCUCUGGGCUGUAACUGACGCUGAGGCGCGAAAGCGUGGGGAGCAAACAGG
rnacentral:rRNA from 1 species